rnacentral:misc_RNA from 1 species
UGCAGCCUUAGAUUUCACCAAAGAAU